AAACUUAAAGGAAUUGACGGGGCCCGCACAAGCGGCGGAGCAUGCGGAUUAAUUCGAUGCAACGCGAAGAACCUUACCAAGGCUUGACAUACACCGGUAACGCCCAGAGAUGGGUGCCCCUUUGUGGUCGGUGGACAGGUGGUGCAUGGUUGUCGUCAGCUCGUGUCGUGAGAUGUUGGGUUAAGUCCCGCAACGAGCGCAACCCUCGUCCUAUGUUGCCAGCGGGUCAUGCCGGGGACUCAUGGGAGACUGCCGGGGUCAACUCGGAGGAAGGUGGGGAUGACGUCAAAUCAUCAUGCCCCUUAUGUUUUGGGCUUCACGCAUGCUACAAUGGCCGGUACAAAGGGCUGCGAUACCGCGAGGUGGAGCGAAUCCCAGAAAGCCGGUCUCAGUUCGGAUUGGGGUCUGCAACUCGACCCCAUGAAGUCGGAGUCGCUAGUAAUCGCAGAUCAGCAACGCUGCGGUGAAUACGUUCCCGGGCCUU
rnacentral:rRNA from 1 species